rnacentral:lncRNA from 1 species
GUACACUCGGGAGUUGGAGUUUCAUAACGGAACUUAUUUUUGACCUAAGCAUCGGGUCAGUCGUCGUUAGGACCACAGAGCCUCGGAGUCCCGCAAAAUAGGAACCCAGACUCCUAAAUGGAGUCUAAUAUUCUCUGCCGUCAUUAGAUUUAAUUUAUAUUUAUCGCAUUGAGUUCCUUUAUAUACAACUAACUUUGUCGUUGAUUU